CUGUGGUGUUGUAGCAGUGUUGUAGUGUGUACUGUGAUGGUGGCAAAGAUGUUAUUGCUGCUGAAGAGCUACUGAAGUGGAACCGAAGAGAGGUUUGAAGACGGAGAGUCCAGAAACCACAGAGGUUAAAGAUAAGAAGCUUGAAGAUAAGAAAGCUUUGUUUUUGCUGCUGAUAAAAGCAAAGGACUGUGUUUUGUGAAAACCGCAAUCUAGAUUCAUGUGCUUCACUGGAGAAACAUCUUUAAAA
rnacentral:lncRNA from 11 species